CCACGGGGAUCCAGGAACAGCGUGAUGAUUCCCAACAGAACGGAUUUGUCACUCGAACAAUUCAAUUCCGGGCUACGCAAAUUUUGUGAUUUCUGGACCGGUCUCGGCACAUACAAGGACGGCUGAAAGAGGUGAGGAGAGACGUUCAGAAGAGCACGGGAGGCCCCGCUGAACAAUGGGACGCCACUGCAACAAUGAAACAGAUUUGAGACUCACAGAGC